rnacentral:rRNA from 1 species
GUAAUGUAUGAGCAACCUGCCUCUGUCAACGGGAUAACAGUCGGAAACGACUGCUAAUACGGUAUAUGACCACGGCACCGCAUGGUGCAGCGGUAAAAGAUUUUAUCGGACAGAGAUGGGCUCAUAUCCCAUUAGGUAGUUGGUGAGAUAACAGCCCA